ACAUUUGGAGUUAAACAAGACAUCUACAAGCUAUUUUCGCUUCAUCAGGCACUGCUAAUUAAGCACCGCUUAAUCAUUGUUGUCAUCUGGGGUCAAGCUGAGGCGGGGUGCGCUGGAAUCAGGUGCUACUGUCCUGCUGACAGUGAUGCAUUGCCACACUCAGAGGGUCAUGUCUCUGUAAACAUGCAUUAUCAAAACCCAAAGACAAAUGUGGGAGGCUGACCUGAGAGAGUGAGAGCAAGCUAGAGUAAGAAUGAGAGAGUAUAAGAAAGAGCAAAAAAAAUAAAUAAAAAAGUAAGAAAGAAAUAGAGACAGAGAGAGAAGAGCAGCAUCUGUUUGUCAGGGGGCAAUGCGGGCAGAGAUAGUUCUCUUGUUGCAAAUGAGGAGGGUCAAGCAAUCAAGCUGGGUUGGGCUUGUGUGUCAUUCCCAUUAUCUAACACUGUCUGAAAUGAUCAAUGAGCUAAAAUAAAAUGAUCACAAGCCAAAAUAGGCCUGCUAAUGAAAAUGGACUGUGUUUUAACAGAUUCCUUUCAGCGUCCCUCCAUGUCAGGAGAGCUGGAACACAGGCGUGAAGGGGAGUAAAAAAUAAAGCUGCCCACUAACAGCCCUAAUAACCCAUUUCUACAGAGGACACACAGGCCUUCCAUUCUCUAGAGAAGCAGGGUCAGUUAACCAUGCAGCUGACAGACUGACCAACCACCAAAGCUCAUUUCCUGUACCAGCAUUCAACACACUAGCAAUCUUGUCUGUUGCUUGUUUUACUUGUUUUAUUUUGUCCCCCCAAAUAAUUCAGA